rnacentral:rRNA from 1 species
GGUUCCUUUGAUCAUACCUACUACAUGGAUACCUGUAGUAAUUCUAGAGCUAAUACAUGCCACUAUGCCCUGACCCGCAAGGGAACGGGUGGAUUUAUUAGAACAGAACCAACCGGCGGUGACUUGUCACUGCUGUUGCGCUCUGUGAUGACUCU